GAAACUAACAAGGAUUCCCCUAGUAACGGCGAGCGAAGCGGGAAGAGCUCAAAUUUGAAAUCUGGUGGCCUCAGGUCAUCCGAGUUGUAAUCUAUAGAAGUGUUUUCCGUGCUGGCCCAUGUACAAGUCCCUUGGAACAGGGCGUCAUAGAGGGUGAGAAUCCCGUCCUUGACAUGGACUACCAGUGCUCUGUGAUACACUUUCAACGAGUCGAGUUGUUUGGGAAUGCAGCUCAAAAUGGGUGGUAAAUUCCAUCUAAAGCUAAAUAUUGGCGAGAGACCGAUAGCGAACAAGUACCGUGAGGGAAAGAUGAAAAGCACUUUGGAAAGAGAGUUAAACAGUAUGUGAAAUUGUUGAAAGGGAAACGAUUGAAGUCAGUCGUGCUCAAUGGACUCAGCCGUUCUGCGGUGUAUUUCCAUUGGGUGGGGUCAACAUCAGUUUUGAUCGCUGGAUAAAGGCAGGAGGAAUGUAGCACCCCCGGGUGAACUUAUAGCCUCUUGUCACAUACAGUGGUUGGGACUGAGGAACGCAGCAUGCCUUUAUGGCCGGGAUUCGUCCACGU
rnacentral:rRNA from 1 species